rnacentral:rRNA from 1 species
CAACAGCUAGAGUUUGAUCCUGGCUCAGGAUGAACGCUGGCGGCGUGCUUAACACAUGCAAGUCGAACGAAGCGAUUUGAAUGAAGUUUUCGGAUGGAUUUUAAAUUGACUGAGUGGCGGACGGGUGAGUAACGCGUGGGUAACCUGCCCCAUACAGGGGGAUAACAGUUAGAAAUGACUGCUAAUACCGCAUAAGACCACAGCGCCGCAUGGUGCAGGGGUAAAAACUCCGGUGGUAUGGGAUGGACCCGCGUCUGAUUAGCUAGUUGGCGGGGUAACGGCCCACCAAGGCGACGAUCAGUAGCCGACCUGAGAGGGUGACCGGCCACAUUGGGACUGAGACACGGCCCAAACUCCUACGGGAGGCAGCAGUGGGGAAUAUUGCACAAUGGGGGAAACCCUGAUGCAGCGACGCCGCGUGAGUGAUGAAGUAUUUCGGUAUGUAAAGCUCUAUCAGCAGGGAAGAAAAUGACGGUACCUGACUAAGAAGCCCCGGCUAACUACGUGCC